rnacentral:rRNA from 1 species
AUUGAACGCUGGCGGCAGGCCUAACACAUGCAAGUCGAGCGGAUGAGAGGAGCUUGCUCCUCGAUUCAGCGGCGGACGGGUGAGUAAUGCCUAGGAAUCUGCCCAGUAGUGGGGGACAACGUUUCGAAAGGAACGCUAAUACCGCAUACGUCCUACGGGAGAAAGUGGGGGAUCUUCGGACCUCACGCUAUUGGAUGAGCCUAGGUCGGAUUAGCUAGUUGGUAGGGUAAAGGCCUACCAAGGCGACGAUCCGUAACUGGUCUGAGAGGAUGAUCAGUCACACUGGAACUGAGACACGGUCCAGACUCCUACGGGAGGCAGCAGUGGGGAAUAUUGGACAAUGGGCGAAAGCCUGAUCCAGCCAUGCCGCGUGUGUGAAGAAGGCCCUCGGGUCGUAAAGCACUUUAAGUUGGGAGGAAGGGCUUACAGCGAAUACCUGUGAGUUUUGACGUUACCGACAGAAUAAGCACCGGCUAACUUCGUGCCAGCCGCCGCAGUAA